GCCUACGGGAGGCAGCAGUGGGGAAUCUUGCGCAAUGCGCGAAAGCGUGACGCAGCAACACCGCGUGAGGGAAGACGGCCUUAGGGUUGUAAACCUCUUUCAGAUGGGACGAAGGUUGUCCGGUGAAUAGCCGAGAUGAUUGACGGUACCGUCAGAAGAAGCUCCGGCUAACUACGUGCCAGCAGCCGCGGUAAUACGUAGGGAGCGAGCGUUGUCCGGAAUCAUUGGGCGUAAAGAGCAUGUAGGUGGAUCAAUUAGUCUGCUGUGAAAGUCGAAGGCUCAACCGUCGAAAGCCGGUGGAUACUGUUGGUCUAGAGUACGGAAGAGGCGAGUGGAAUUCCUGGUGUAGCGGUGGAAUGCGCAGAUAUCAGGAGGAACACCAAUAGCGAAGGCAGCUCGCUGGGACGUUACUGACACUGAGAUGCGAAAGCGUGGGGAGCAAACAGGAUUAGAUACCCCAGUAGUCCU
rnacentral:rRNA from 1 species